UAGAGGACAGAAUACUAAUGGACUAAGGACUCAAAGAUUCUUAGAUCAUAUCAGUUCUUAAUGGUGUGUGUUGUGUUGUGUUCUCACUUCCCAAAAUAGCCGUUCUUUUAUGACAGUAAGACGCCAAUUGUGGCUAAACAGUGUUCUUAUGUGAUGGAAUCAUGUUAGUGCUUACAGGAAUUUUAAAAGAUUAGUGUGAACUGACAUCCAAAUUAAAAAGUUAUCGGAAAGGAAUUUCUCCAACUCUAAAUAACUUUCUACUUGUUUGGCCCAAAAUAUGUCUCUCCAACGUGCAGCUACUUUCAAUUUUUCUCAUGUCAUUCUGGCCGUAUAUCAGAACCAUUAUCUAUUUUCUUUUUCAUUACAGUACCAGAGGUAUAUUAUUAACCAUUUGGUCGUGUAACUUUAACUCCAACUUUCUAUAGUCUGCAUCUUUCUACUCUUUCUCCCAAAUGAAAAUCUUUAUUAAUGCACUGUUAGGUUAUGAAUCCUUGUUCAUAAUUUUGUUAUUUUUAAUGAACUUUAACUAAUAAAAGUGAGUGUAUUUAAAAAGUGGGUCGGAGAGUACUUCCCCCUAAUGUGGCUUGCUUGCUUGCCAUGGAAUUAGAUUCCCUGGAGGAAUGGAAUCGAGAUUAGAGGUAGAAUCUGCUUCCUGCUUUUGGAGAUGAUAAAUGUAAAAGGAAUUCGAUUCAAAGCAAUCAAUUUAAGAAUAAACAGAGGUUGUUAUACCUGCCAUUCUGUCUAUAAAUUGCAGUGGUGUGAUAACAGAUGAAUCGUGUAAUUGUGCUUAUUAUAUAGCUGUCCUUGUGAGAAAAAAACAUCAGAAAACAAUGCUGCGAUCGGAGGACUACCACGCCCACAUAAC
rnacentral:lncRNA from 1 species